rnacentral:rRNA from 1 species
GACGAACGCUGGCGGCAGGCCUAACACAUGCAAGUCGAACGAGUGGCGGACGGGUGAGUAAUGUCUGGGAACCUGCCUGAUGGAGGGGGAUAACUACUGGAACCGGUAGCUAAUACCGCAUACCAUCGUAUGUGCCCAGGUGGGAUUAGCUAGUGGGUGGGGUAAAGGCUCACCUAGGCGACGAUCCCUAGCUGGUCUGAGAGGGUGACCAGCCACACUGGAACUGAGACACGGCCCAGACUCCUACGGGAGGCAGCAGUAGGGAAUAUUGGGCAAUGGGCGAAAGUCUGAUGCAGCAAUGCCGCGUGAAUGAAGAAGGCCUUCGGGUUGUAAAGUACUUUCGGCGGGGAAGCGGUACCCAAAGAGGAAGCAACGGCUAACUACGUGCCAGCAGCCGCGGUAAUUC